AUUGAACGCUGGCGGCAUGCCUUACACAUGCAAGUCGAACGGUAACAGGUCUUCGGAUGCUGACGAGUGGCGAACGGGUGAGUAAUACAUCGGAACGUGCCUAGUAGUGGGGGAUAACUACUCGAAAGAGUGGCUAAUACCGCAUGAGAUCUACGGAUGAAAGCAGGGGAUCGCAAGACCUUGUGCUACUAGAGCGGCCGAUGGCAGAUUAGGUAGUUGGUGGGAUAAAAGCUUACCAAGCCGACGAUCUGUAGCUGGUCUGAGAGGACGAUCAGCCACACGGGGACUGAGACACGGCCCAGACUCCUACGGGAGGCAGCAGUGGGGAAUUUUGGACAAUGGGCGCAAGCCUGAUCCAGCAAUGCCGCGUGCAGGAUGAAGGCCUUCGGGUUGUAAACUGCUUUUGUACGGAACGAAAAGCCCUGGGUUAAUACCCUGGGGUCAUGACGGUACCGUAAGAAUAAGCACCGGUUAACUACGUGCCAGCCGCCGCAGUAAUAC
rnacentral:rRNA from 1 species